GUACUCCUCACAUUAAACUACAUAUUCUUCUUUAUAUAACUAUAAUUAAUUAUUUUGUUUUAAAGUGUUUUCUGUUUAUAUGUUACCCCUGUUACAGGGGACUGUAUUGCAGUGUCUCCUACAAUGCUAUAUUUUGUUGGUCAGACACUUUUCCCUCUCUCCCUGGCUCUUCCUCCACACAGGGCUGAGAGGGGUCUGAGAGGUUGUGAGACCGCACCGCCCGCGCGUCCGCGGUCUCACUAGUGCCCUCCCCCUCCUCCCUCACUGUAUUUGCCGGCACCCGCUUAGAUAUAAACCAGCGGGUGCCGAGCAACUCUGUUUCUCCCCGGGCUUACUUCCGCCCGGCGGUCUGGGACCGCAAGGAUUCCCUUUACUCGCGGCCAUUGCUAGGGGGGGCAGAGCUAAUCACCUUCGGCGCGCUUCUCUCCUCUGAAGUGCGGGAAGGCUGAACGGCUCCUAGCUUUG